CCUACGGGUGGCUGCAGUGGGGAAUUUUGGACAAUGGGCGCAAGCCUGAUCCAGCCAUGCCGCGUGAGUGAAGAAGGCCUUCGGGUUGUAAAGCUCUUUCGGUGAAGACGAAACGGUUAGCGCUAAUAACGCUGACUAAUGACGGUACUCACAGAAGAAGCACCGGCUAACUACGUGCCAGCAGCCGCGGUAAUACGUAGGGUGCAGGCGUUAAUCGGAAUUACUGGGCGUAAAGCGUGCGCAGGCGGUUUGUUAAGGCAGGUGUGAAAUCCCCG
rnacentral:rRNA from 1 species